AGUGAACGCUGGCGGUAGGCCUAACACAUGCAAGUCGAACGGCAGCACAGUAAGAGCUUGCUCUUACGGGUGGCGAGUGGCGGACGGGUGAGGAAUUCAUCGGAAUCUACUUUUUCGUGGGGGAUAACGUAGGGAAACUUACGCUAAUACCGCAUACGACCUACGGGUGAAAGCAGGGGAUCUUCGGACCUUGCGCGAUUGAAUGAGCCGAUGUCGGAUUAGCUUGUUGGCGGGGUAAAGGCCCACCAAGGCGACGAUCCGUAGCUGGUCUGAGAGGAUGAUCAGCCACACUGGAACUGAGACACGGUCCAGACUCCUACGGGAGGCAGCAGUGGGGAAUAUUGGACAAUGGGCGCAAGCCUGAUCCAGCCAUACCGCGUGGGUGAAGAAGGCCUUCGGGUUGUAAAGCCCUUUUGUUGGGAAAGAAAAGCAGCAGGUUAAUACCCCGCUGUUCUGACGGUACCCAAAGAAUAAGCACCGGCUAACUUCGUG
rnacentral:rRNA from 1 species